GACGAACGCUGGCGGCGUGCCUAAUACAUGCAAGUCGAACGCACAGUUUAUACCGUAGCUUGCUACACCAUAGACUGUGAGUUGCGAACGGGUGAGUAACGCGUAGGUAACCUGCCUGGUAGCGGGGGAUAACUAUUGGAAACGAUAGCUAAUACCGCAUAAUAUUAAUUAUUGCAUGAUAAUUGAUUGAAAGAUGCAACUGCAUCACUACCAGAUGGACCUGCGUUGUAUUAGCUAGUAGGUGAGGUAACGGCUCACCUAGGCGACGAUACAUAGCCGACCUGAGAGGGUGGUCGGCCAGACUGGGACUGAGACACGGCCCAGACUCCUACGGGAGGCAGCAGGAGGGAAUCUUCGGCAAUGGACGAAAGUCUGACCGAGCAACGCCGCGUGAGUGAAGAAGGGUUUCGGAUCGUAAAGCUCUGUUGUAAGAGAAGAACGGGUGUGAGAGUGGAAAGUUCACACUGUGACGGUAGCUUACCAGAAAGGGACGGCUAACUACGUG
rnacentral:rRNA from 1 species